UGAAUACGAGAUACUACGGUGUCGAAGCAGUCUAUGUCAUACUUCCAAGAAAAGCUUGCACUGUCAUAAACAAAUAAUGCCUGUACCAUAACCGACACAGGUGGGUAGGUAGAGUAUACUAAGGGGCGCGAGAUAACUCUCUCUAAGGAACUCGGCAAAAUGACUCCGUAACUUCGGGAGAAGGAGUGCCUUAUAUUUAUAAGGUUGCAAUAACAAGAUCCAAGCAACUGUUUAUCAAAAACACAGGUCUCCGCUAAGUCGUAAGACGAUGUAUGGGGGCUGACGCCUGCCCAGUGCCAGAAGGUUAAAGAAGUUGGUUAGCUUUUGCGAAGCUGAUAACUGAAGCCCUGGUGAACGGCGGCCGUAACCAUAACGGUCCUAAGGUAGCGAAAUUCCUUGUCGGGUAAGUUCCGACCCGCACGAAAGGCGUAAUGAUUUGGAUACUGUCUCGGAGAGGGACUCGGUGAAAUAGACUUGUCUGUGAAGAUGCGGACUACUUGCACCAGGACAGAAAGACCCUAUGAAGCUUUACUGUAACCUGAAAUUGAAAUUGGACUUUACUUGCGCAGGAUAGGUGGGAGGCUUUGAGAAUAUUCUUGCGGGAAUAUUGGAGCCAUCAGUGAGAUACCACUCUGGUAAUGUUAGAUUUCUAACUUUGUAUCAUUAUCUGGUCAAAGAACAGUUUCAGGCGGGCAGUUUGACUGGGGCGGUCGCCUCCUAAACGGUAACGGAGGCGCACAAAGGUUUCCUCUGAACGGGUAGAAAUCGUAUCUAGAGUGUAAAGGCAUAAGGAAGCUUGACUGUGAGACCUACAAGUCGAGCAGGGACGAAAGUCGGUCUUAGUGAUCUGACGGUGCUGAGUGGAAAGGCCGUCACUCAACGGAUAAAAGUUACUCUAGGGAUAACAGGCUGAUCUCCCCCAAGAGUUCACAUCGACGGGGAGGUUUGGCACCUCGAUGUCGGCUCAUCGCAUCCUGGGGCGGUAGUACGUCCCAAGGGUUGGGCUGUUCGCCCAUGAAAGCGGUACGCGAGCUGGGUUCAGAACGUCGUGAGACAGUUCGGUCCAUAUCCGGUGUAAGCGUUAGAAUAUUGAGAGGAGCCUUCUUUAGUACGAGAGGACCGAGAAGGAUGCACCGCUGGUGUACCAGUUAUUGUGCCAACAGUAAACGCUGGGUAGCUAUGUGUGGAGUGGAUAACCGCUGAAAGCAUCUAAGUGGGAAGCCCACCUCAUGAUAAGUAUUCUC
rnacentral:rRNA from 1 species